rnacentral:rRNA from 1 species
CUACGGGAGGCUGCAGUGGGGAAUAUUGCACAAUGGAGGAAACUCUGAUGCAGCAACGCCGCGUGGAGGAUGACACUUUUCGGAGCGUAAACUCCUUUUAUAUAGGAAGAAGAUGACGGUACUAUAUGAAUAAGCGCCGGCCAACUCCGUGCCAGCAGCCGCGGUAAUACGGAGGGCGCAAGCGUUACUCGGAAUCACUGGGCGUAAAGAGGGUGUAGGCGGAUUAAAAGGUCAGAAGUGAAAUCCUAUAGCUUAACUAUAGAACUGCUUCUGAAACUCUUAAUCUAGAAUGUGGGAGAGGUAGAUGGAAUUUCUGGUGUAGGGGUAAAAUCCGUAGAGAUCAGAAGGAAUACCGAUUGCGAAGGCGAUCUACUAGAACAUUAUUGACGCUGAGACGCGAAAGCGUGGGGAGCAAACAGGAUUAGAUACCCCAGUAGUC